UACAGAGGGUGCAAGCGUUAAUCGGAAUUACUGGGCGUAAAGCGCACGUAGGUGGUUUGAUAAGUUGGGUGUGAAAUCCCCGAGCUUAACUUGGGAAUUGCAUUCAAGACUGUCUUACUAGAGUGUGGAAGAGGGAAGCGGAAUUCCAGGUGUAGCGGUGAAAUGCGUAGAUAUCUGGAGGAACAUCAGUGGCGAAGGCGGCUUCCUGGUCCAACACUGACACUGAGGUGCGAAGGCGUGGGGAGCAAACAGG
rnacentral:rRNA from 1 species